rnacentral:piRNA from 1 species
CCAUGGAAGUAGCAGAGUGGACAGA